CGCGGCCUAUCAGCUUGUUGGUGAGGUAACGGCUCACCAAGGCAUCGACGGGUAGCUGGUCUGAGAGGAUGAUCAGCCACACUGGGACUGAGACACGGCCCAGACUCCUACGGGAGGCAGCAGUAGGGAAUCUUGCGCAAUGGGCGAAAGCCUGACGCAGCAACGCCACGUGGGGGAUGAAUGCCUUCGGGUUGUAAACCCCUUUCAGCAGGGGCGAAAAUGACGGUACCUGCAGAAGAAGCUCCGGCCAACUACGUGCCAGCAGCCGCGGUAAUACGUAGGGAGCGAGCGUUGUCCGGAAUUAUUGGGCGUAAAGAGCUCGUAGGCGGUUCAGUAAGUCGGGUGUGAAAACUCAAGGCUCAACCUUGAGACGCCACUCGAUACUGCUGUGACUUGAGUCCGGUAGAGGAGUGUGGAAUUCCUGGUGUAGCGGUGAAAUGCGCAGAUAUCAGGAGGAACACCAGCGGCGAAGGCGGCACUCUGGGCCGGUACUGACGCUGAGGAGCGAAAGCAUGGGGAGCAAACAGGAUUAGAUACCCUGGUAGUCCAUGCCGUAAACGUUGGGCACUAGGUAUGGGAUCAUAUCAACGGAUUCCGUGCCGUAGCUAACGCAUUAAGUGCCCCGCCUGGGGAGUACGG
rnacentral:rRNA from 1 species